rnacentral:rRNA from 1 species
AUGAGCGCGCCCGCCACCGGCCAGCCGCCGGUCGACGCUGGCGGCGGCCGCAUCGGGUUGGGCAGGGAGCUGGGGCACCCGCCGAGGGACGGCGUCUCCAGCCUCCGCUUCUCGAAGCACAGCAACCGCCUCCUCGUCUCCUCAUGGGAGAAGGCGGUGCGGCUCCUGGACGUCGAUGCCACCAACGCGCUGGUGGGCGCGUUCGCGCACAAGACGCCCGUGCUGGACUGCUGCUUCCACGAUAACGACUCCUCGGCGUUCAGCGCCUCGAGCGACCACGUCGUGCGGAGGCUGUCCUUUAGUGCCAAAAGUAGUUAUCGCUUGGGAACCCACGAUGGUCCAGUUCGCUGUGUGGAGUACUCCUAUACCACAGGUCAAGUAAUCACUGGAAGCUGGGAUAGGACUAUAAAGUGUUGGGAUCAAAGAGGUGCGACUGGGCCAGAAUAUACACUUAUUGGGACACACACCCAACCUGAACGUGUAUACGCACUUUCAUUAGCAGGACAUAAGUUGGUUGUUGCAACAGCAGGAGAGCAUGUGAAUGUUUAUGAUUUGCGCAAUAUGUCUGAGCCUCAGCAAAGGAAGUCUUAUCUGAAUUCUCAAACACGCUGUGUUGAGUGUUACCCAAAUAAAACUGGAUUUGCUUUGGGUAGUACAGACGGACGAGUUGCAAUGGACUUCUUUGACCAAUCUGAGUCUAGUCUCGAAAAGAGGUAUGGUUUCAAGUGCCAUCGAUUGACCGAGGGCAGAGUGAGGGUUGCAUAUCCUGUUAAUGCAAUUGCAUUCCACUCAGUGCACGGAACGUUUGCCACGGGCGGAUGUGAUGGAUUUGUGUGCACUUGGGAUGGAGAAAACAAAAAGAGAUUGUUUCAGUCCCCCAGGUACCCAACCAGCAUUGCUGCUCUGUCUUUCAGCAAGGAUAACAAUCUGCUCGCUGUUGCAUCCAGUUACACUUACGAAAGGGGAAAAAUAGAGAAUGAACCUGGUACUAAGAUCUUUAUCCGCGAUGUCAACGAAGUGGAAGUAAAGCCGAGGCACUGA